GGUGGGGUGGCCGAGUGGUCUAAGGCGCUACGUUCAGGUCGUAGUCUACUAUGUAGGCGCGGGUUCGAAUCCCGCCUCCACCU